UCCCGUCCCUGUGGUCCCCGCCCGCGGCCGCUGCCCACGAGUCGUCCAUAAAAGGCAAGGAGCGCAGGUCGCGCCAAACUUAGUCAUGCGGCGGCGGCCGGCGGCUGCCCGCGCGACUUCCUCCGCCGACUUCCCGUUUCGAGAGCGGAGCCCGCAGGGGAUGCAAGUGCUGCUGGUAGAAGCUGGUGCCUCACAUGCUAGGGUCUCACUAUGCAUCCUUGGCUGGUUUGGAACAAACUAUGUAGACUAGACUCGCUUCAAAUUCACUUGCCUCUGGAGUGCUGGGAUGAUUCUCUCUCCACCUCGGGAGAGCUGGGGUGAAGAUGUUUGCAACCAUACUUUUGUUUUAUUUUCUUUCUCUAUUUUGAGACAGGGUUUCCGUAUGCAGCUCUAACUGGCCUAGAACUCCCUCUGUAGACCAAGCUGGCCUUAAACAUACAGAGAUAUGCCGGCCUAUGCCUCCUAAGUGCUGGGAUUAAAGGUCUGAUCCAUAAUGCAUGGCUUAUUUUCAUUUCUUAACCAUUUAUAAUAAUGAG